AGAAACCAACAGGGAUUGCCCUAGUAACGGCGAGUGAAGCGGCAACAGCUCAAAUUUGAAAUCUGGCUCUUUCAGAGUCCGAGUUGUAAUUUGCAGAGGGCGCUUUGGCGUUGGCAGCGGUCCAAGUUCUUUGGAACAGGACGUCACAGAGGGUGAGAAUCCCGUACGUGGUCGCUAGCCUUCGCCGUGUAAAGCCCCUUCGACGAGUCGAGUUGUUUGGGAAUGCAGCUCUAAAUGGGAGGUAAAUUUCUUCUAAAGCUAAAUACUGGCCAGAGACCGAUAGCGCACAAGUAGAGUGAUCGAAAGAUGAAAAGCACUUUGGAAAGAGAGUCAAAUAGCACGUGAAAUUGUUGAAAGGGAAGCGCUUGCAGCCAGACUUGCCUGUAGUUGCUUAUCUGGACUUUUGUCCGGUGCACUCUUCUGCGGGCAGGCCAGCAUCAGUUUGGGCGGUUGGAUAAAGGUCUCUGUCAUGUACCUCCUUUCGGGGAGGCCUUAUAGGGGAGACGACAUGCAACCAGCCUGGACUGAGGUCCGCGCAUCUGCUAGGAUGCUGGCGUAAUGGCUGUAAGCGGCCCGUCUUGAAACACGGACCAAGGAGUCUAACAUCUAUGC
rnacentral:rRNA from 1 species